rnacentral:lncRNA from 1 species
GUGCUCUGCUCAAGCAGCCAAUAGUAAAACACCGGAACGGGAUGUACAUCAGUGACGUACUACCGGUAUCUCCACAUGCGCGCUUGUCAGUAUACA